GGAUUAGGCAUGCAAGUCGAACGAAGCUGCAGGGCAACUUGUGGCUUAGUGGCGAAAGGGUUAGUAAUACAUGAAUAACCUACCUUUAACACUGGGAUAACGGCUGGAAACGGCCGCUAAUACCGAAUGAGGUGGUUGAGGGAGACCUUGGCCUAUCAAAGUAGGGGACCUUGAAAGGGGCCUUGCGGUUAAAGAAGGGUUCAUGGGAUAUCAGCUUGUUGGUGUGGUAAAGGCGCACCAAGGCUAAGACGUCUAGGCGAAUUGAGAGAUUGACCGCCAACACUGGGACUGAGACACUGCCCAGACUCCUACGGGAGGCUGCAGUCGAGAAUCAUUCGGCAAUGGGCGAAAGCCUGACGAUGCGACGCUGCGUGAACGAUGAAGGCUUCGGGUCGUAAAGUUCUUUCGCGCAAGAACAAGGAAUAUAUGUGAAUAACCUGCUAACUUGAGGGUACUAGGUAAAGAAGCACCGGCUAACUCCGUGCCAGCAGCUGCGGUAAUACGGAGGGUGCAAGCAUUAGUCGGAAUUAUUGGGCGUAAAGAGCGCGUAGGCGGAAAUGUCAGUCAGAUGUGAAAUUCCGAAGCUCAACUUUGGUGCUGCAUUUGAAACUAUCAUCCUAGAGGGUAGGCGGAGAAAACGGAAUUCCACGUGUAGCGGUGAAAUGCGUAGAUAUGUGGAAGAACACCAGUGGCGAAGGCGGUUUUCUAGCUUACUCCUGACGCUGAGGCGCGAAAGCAAGGGGAGCGAACAGGAUUAGAUACCCUGGUAGUCCUUGCCGUAAACGAUGUAUACUUGAUGUAGUCGGAAUCAACCCCGACUGUGUCGUAGCUAACGCGUUAAGUAUACCGCCUGGGGAGUACGCUCGCAAGGGUGAAACUCAAAAGAAUUGACGGGGGCCCGCACAAGCAGUGGAGCAUGUGGUUUAAUUCGAUGCAACGCGAAGAACCUUACCCAGACUUGACAUGUACCAGACAGCUUCAGAGAUGAUAUUUCCCGCAAGGGCUUUUAUAUAGGUGCUGCAUGGCUGUCGUCAGCUCGUGCCGUGAGGUGUUGGGUUAAGUCCCGCAACGAGCGCAACCCUUAUCAUUAGUUGCCAGCAACUCGGUUGGGAACUCUAAUGAGACUGCCUAGGUUAACUAGGAGGAAGGCGAGGAUGACGUCAAGUCCGCAUGGCCUUUAUGUCUGGGGCUACACCCGUGCUACAAUGGAUGGUACAGAAGGCAGCAAGACCGCAAGGUGGAGCAAAUCCGUAAAACCAUUCUCAGUUCGAAUUGUAAUCUGCAACUCGAUUACAUGAAGCUGGAAUUGCUAGUAAUGACGUGUCAGCAAUAACGUCGUGAAUACGUUCCCGGGCCUUGUAGACGACCGCCCG
rnacentral:rRNA from 1 species